AAGGCUAAAACUCAAAGGAAUUGACGGGGGCCCGCACAAGCGGCGGAGCAUGCGGAUUAAUUCGAUGCAACGCGAAGAACCUUACCAAGGCUUGACAUGAACCGGAAAGACCUGGAAACAGGUGCCCCGCUUGCGGUCGGUUUACAGGUGGUGCAUGGUUGUCGUCAGCUCGUGUCGUGAGAUGUUGGGUUAAGUCCCGCAACGAGCGCAACCCUCGUUCUAUGUUGCCAGCGCGUUAUGGCGGGGACUCAUAGGAGACUGCCGGGGUCAACUCGGAGGAAGGUGGGGACGACGUCAAAUCAUCAUGCCCCUUAUGUCUUGGGCUUCACGCAUGCUACAAUGGCCGGUACAAAGGGUUGCGAUACUGUGAGGUGGAGCUAAUCCCAAAAAGCCGGUCUCAGUUCGGAUUGGGGUCUGCAACUCGACCCCAUGAAGUCGGAGUCGCUAGUAAUCGCAGAUCAGCAACGCUGCGGUGAAUACGUUCCCGGGCCUUGUACACACCGCCCGUCAAGUCACGAAAGUUGGUAACACCCGAAGCCGGUGGCCUAACCCUUGUGGGGGGAGCCGUCGAAGGUGGGACCGGCGAUUGGGACUAAGUCGUAACAAGGUAGCCGUACCGGAAGGUGCGG
rnacentral:rRNA from 1 species